GAGUUUGAUCUUGGCUCAGAUUGAACGCUGGCGGCAGGCCUAACACAUGCAAGUCGAGCGGAUGACGGGAGCUUGCUCCUUGAUUCAGCGGCGGACGGGUGGGUAAUGCCUGGGAAUCUGCCUGGUAGUGGGGGACAACGUUUCGAAAGGAACGCUAAUACCGCAUACGUCCUACGGGAGAAAGCAGGGGACCUUCGGGCCUUGCGCUAUCAGAUGAGCCUAGGUCGGAUUAGCUAGUUGGUGGGGUAAUGGCUCACCAAGGCGACGAUCCGUAACUGGUCUGAGAGGAUGAUCAGUCACACUGGAACUGAGACACGGUCCAGACUCCUACGGGAGGCAGCAGUGGGGAAUAUUGGACAAUGGGCGAAAGCCUGAUCCAGCCAUGCCGCGUGUGUGAAGAAGGUCUUCGGAUUGUAAAGCACUUUAAGUUGGGAGGAAGGGCAGUAAGUUAAUACCUUGCUGUUUUGACGUUACCGACAGAAUAAGCACCGGCUAACUCUGUGCCAGCCGCCGCGGUAA
rnacentral:rRNA from 1 species